GACAGAACGAGCCUUCCACGCGUCAGCAUCUCUUCACAUGAGCAUGCUCAAAAAAGUUGCAUGGAGCAAUCAUUAUGUUGCACCAGCAUCUCUUCUCCGCAGCUACAAGAGAAGUUUCAAUGGAUUCGUUGCCAUCUAAAUGAGGAAGAAGCACAACAAAUGGCUGGAAAAUAGUUAUGGCAGCGGGAAGGUUCUUGGCAGCUUGGGGAUGUGUAUUGAGGGAGAAUGGAAUCGGUGGACUGCGCAAACGAUUCGAGGAUGAAGUUCUUUAAGUCUUUCAAUCACAUUUUUGUGUAUUUUUGUGCA